rnacentral:rRNA from 1 species
AGAGGGUGCAAGCGUUAAUCGGAAUUACUGGGCGUAAAGGGCACGUAGGCGGCUAGAUAAGUCAGAUGUGAAAUCCCCCGGGGCUCAACCUGGGAACUGCAUAUGAUACUGUUUGGCUAGAGUACAGUAGAGGGUAGUGGAAUUUCCGGUGUAGCGGUGAAAUGCGUAGAUAUCGGAAGGAACACCAGUGGCGAAGGCGGCUACCUGGACUGAUACUGACGCUGAGGUGCGAAAGCGUGGGUAGCGAACAGGAUUAGAUACCCUGGUAGUCCACGCUGUAAACGAUGAGUACUAGCCGUUGGGAGGGGAAGACCUCUUAGUGGCGUAGCAAACGCGCUAAGUACUCCGCCUGGGGAGUACGGCCGCAAGGCUA